CCUACGGGAGUCAGCAGUGAGGACUCUUGGUCAAUGGGCGAGAGCCUGAACCAGCACAGUCGCGUGCAGGAUGACGGCCCUACGGGUUGUAAACUUCUUUUGUCAGGGAGCAAUUGAGUCCACGUGUGGUCUUAGCGAGAGUACCUGAAGAAAACGCAUCGGCUAACUCCGUGCCAGCAGACGCGGUAAUUCUGAGGAUGCGAGCGUUCUCCGGAUUUAUUGGGUUUAAAGGGUGCGUAGGCGGAAUAUCAAGUCAGCGGUAAAAAUUCGGGGCUCAAACCCGUCGUGCCGUUGAAACUGAUGUUCUUGAGUGGGCGAGAAGGAUGCGGAAUGCGUGGGGUAGCGGUGAAAUGCAUAGAUAUCACGAAGAACUCCGAUUGGGAAGGCAGCAUUCCGGCGCCCAACGGACGCUGAAGCUUGAAAGCGUGGGUAUAGAACAGGAUUAGAUACCCCAGUAGGG
rnacentral:rRNA from 1 species